rnacentral:tRNA from 1 species
GCGCCGGUGGUGUAAGGCGAACAUCGCUGCCCGGAAAGCAGAAGAUGCGGGUUCGAGUCCCGCAUGGGACG